CAGAGAAUAGUUUAUAAAAAAAUUUUAAUUUUGGGAAUUAAUGAAAAGUUUCUUCUUUUCUCUGA
rnacentral:tRNA from 1 species